GAUGAACGCUGGCGGCGUGCCUAAUACAUGCAAGUCGAGCGAACGGACGAGAAGCUUGCUUCUCUGAUGUUAGCGGCGGACGGGUGAGUAACACGUGGAUAACCUACCUAUAAGACUGGGAUAACUUCGGGAAACCGGAGCUAAUACCGGAUGAUAUUUUGAACCGCAUGGUUCAAAAGUGAAAGACGGUCUUGCUGUCACUUAUAGAUGGAUCCGCGCUGCAUUAGCUAGUUGGUAAGGUAACGGCUUACCAAGGCAACGAUGCAUAGCCGACCUGAGAGGGUGAUCGGCCACACUGGAACUGAGACACGGUCCAGACUCCUACGGGAGGCAGCAGUAGGGAAUAUUGCGCAAUGGGCGAAAGCCUGACGGAGCAACGCCGCGUGAGUGAUGAAGGUCUUCGGAUCGUAAAACUCUGUUAUUAGGGAAGAAGAUAUGUGUAAGUAACUGUGCACGUCUUGACGGUACCUAAUCAGAAAGCCACGGCUAACUACGUG
rnacentral:rRNA from 1 species